rnacentral:rRNA from 1 species
GACGAACGCUGGCGGCGUGCCUAAUACAUGCAAGUCGAGCGCAGGAAAUCGACGGAACCCUUCGGGGGGAAGUCGACGGAAUGAGCGGCGGACGGGUGAGUAACACGUAAAGAACCUGCCCUCAGGUCUGGGAUAACCACGAGAAAUCGGGGCUAAUACCGGAUGGGUCAUCGGACCGCAUGGUCCGAGGAUGAAAGGCGCUCCGGCGUCGCCUGGGGAUGGCUUUGCGGUGCAUUAGCUAGUUGGUGGGGUAAUGGCCCCCCAAGGCGACGAUGCAUAGCCGACCUGAGAGGGUGAUAGGCCACACUGGGACUGAGACACGGCCCAGACUCCUACGGGAGGCAGCAGUAGGGAAACGUCCACAAUGGACGAAAGUCUGAUGGAGCAACGCCGCGUGAACGAUGAAGGCCUUCGGGUCGUAAAGUUCUGUUGUAAGGGAAGAACAAGUGCCGCAGGCAAUGGCGGCACCUUGACGGUACCUUGCGAGAAAGCCACGGCUAACUACGUGCCAGCAGCCGCCGCGGUAA